rnacentral:rRNA from 1 species
UACGGGGGGGGCAAGCGUUGUUCGGAAUUACUGGGCGUAAAGGGCUCGUAGGCGGCCAACUAAGUCAGACGUGAAAUCCCCAGGCUCAACCUGGGAACUGCGUCUGAUACUGGAUGGCUUGAAUCCGGGAGAGGGAUGCAGAAUUCCAGGUGUAGCGGUGAAAUGCGUAGAUAUCUGGAGGAAUACCGGUGGCGAAGGCGGCAUCCUGGGCCGGCAUUGACGCUGAGGAGCGAAAGCAUGGGGAGCGAACAGG